rnacentral:lncRNA from 1 species
UUCAAUGUAAAAGAAACAUUAUUGUAAUUUUAAUUCAAUUACAAAUUCUAGUAUAUUACAAUUGGUAUCAGAGCUUCAUCUAGGUACCAUGACAAUUCCAGAAACUCGAGCAAAGGCCAAAGGCCACAGAAGAAAAUGUCAAAAAACUGGACACCAGUUGCAUAGUUACAUGACAGAAACAAAUAAAAUAUUGGAAUCUAAUGAUUCCAAAAUGAACGAGCUAAACCACAAAUUUGAUGUGAUGAUGGAGAAAUUGUUCUUGAAUAAGGAUGGGAUCUUGGGUGGUGAUCCAACUGAGGCACACCAUUUGGAUGGAUCGAGCAGUAGAAUGAGGAUUAUGGAGCCACAUGAGAAUUUCAUUAGUUGAUUUAUUCGUACAGUACUGAUGCUAAGGUGGAUUGUCCUUACUGUGAAGAUGGUGAUCCUGGGUCUUGGCUGCAAAAAUCUGAAAGGCAUUUCCAUUAAAAUCGCAUAAUUGAACAACAACAAAAGUUAGAUACUGCAGUGAACCAUUUGAAUGUGAGGUAUGAGUCUUGGUAUUUUUAUAUCAAUUGAGUAGAGGUAUGGUGAGAUGGACGGAUUUUGUUGAAGAAAUCUGUAGAAGAUUUAAUGAUUCUGAUAAUAGUAAUCUCAACCUACUGGGAAAGUUUAAAAUAAUUGAGCAAAGGGUAACUAUGAAUGAAUAUUUGGAGAAGGUUGAAGAUUUAAAGGCUUGGAUAUUACUCAACCACCCAACCAUUCCUGAACAAUUCUUUUUUGGAUUUUUCAUUGAAAAAUUGAAGGAAAAAAUCAUGCAUACAGUUAAAAUGCUUGAUCCUUUUUUCUGUAAGUCAGGCUGUAAAAAAAGCUAGGUACAAGGAAGAAUUAUUAGAUUCAGUAAACAAUAACAACAACCUAGUGUAUACGUAGACCUUACCCCUACCCCGAAGGGAUAGAGAGGUUGUUUCCGAAAGACCCUCGACUCAAGAUAAUAAAAGGAAAAAAGAAUUAUUGGAUUGAGUAAGUAGAAAGAAAAAAAUUAAUGGAGGAAGACAAUCAGUGUCAUGACCCAUUUCCAUAACAGGUCAUGAUGGCGCCCAACAACCUUGUCGGACAAGCCAAGUACGGAAAACAUUUCUAAGUUUAGCAACAACAAUAUUUUAAGAAGGGGAUGAGCAUCCCAAAAGGGGUUUUCAGAAACCUGAUACACUAAUCAAUGUAUGGACGUAAUAUUACAACUCAAAACUAGUCUACUAAAGUGGGUGCCAGAACCUGGUGUCAUAGCUACGGGCAACUAGUAGAGAAUAUACAAAAGAAUAAUAUGCCAUCCUACUGUCUAAAUCAGGAUAGACAGAAAAUAAAAUUGCAGAGAUGACUUCGUCAGCUGUAGAUCGUCAAUGAAAGGAGGUAGCUCACCGCAUAAGUCCAAGAUAGCUCACUGAUGCGCCCCCGAAUGGUAACCAGAUUCACUUGUCUCAGAUCCUCUACAUCUAAGUACAAAAGUGUAUCAUGAGUACAUAAACAUCAUGUACCCAGUAAGUAUCCCGUCUAAUCUCGAAGAAGUAGAGACAAGAGGUCGACUUGAUACUUACUAAGGUCAAAUAAUAUAUGAGAUUAUUCAUAAGCAUGGAAACUACUAGUAUCAACAUGUUUAAGACAACAGAGGUAAGUCAUGUCUUUACAAUAUCAUGAUUUACAAAUUCCAUAUCCAAUGUAUAGUAACAAGCAAUGUGAGUACAAGUUUUCACAUAAUAAUCAUCCGCACACUAUACCGAGGUGACACCGAGGGUCAAUGGCGCGCCUAUAAAUGCACCUAUUCGUACCGAGGCGAUCGUCCCGAUCCACAAAUAACAAGCAAGCAUCAAGAAUGCACACGAAGGUAACACAUAUUCAAUUAUGCCAUACAAGAGUUCAGCAAGUGUACACAUUUACUUUUAUUUUCCUUCAAGCCUCUAUUAUAUCCUAGGCAAUCACAUUAGCAUGAUGAUAUAUAGAUAUUCAUAGAUAAAGUAUGAUGUGGGUCCUAAACUACCCGGACAAUCAAUAUGGUAAUAGCUACGCACGUACUCUCGUCAACUUGUGCGUACGCAGCUCUUGCAGUUAGAAAUAGUUAUACAUUUUUAUUAAUCCUAUAGGGAUAUUUCCCUCUUACAAGAUUAGAAAGGAGACUCACCUCACUCUGAAGCGCGCUUUCAAUAACAAAAAUAGGUUCUAACCUCAAUUUGAAGCCGAACGAGCACCGACUUGUGAUGUUAUGUUGAAACUCCCUCUUUGGAACCACCACAAUCGAUUAAGUGUUGAGAGAAAAGUGAGGAAAAUGACUUGGGGUUAGAAUUAAAUGAACCCUCUCUGCACAGCUAUUUCUGCUUAUGCGGUCAAGGGGACCGCUUCUGUUGUCCUGCAUCAGCGGUAAAAGGGCCGCUUCUGCGUACUGGGGCAAAAUGGGCUUGACCGCUUCUGCAGUAUAGGGGUCGCAAAGGAGGGACCGCGUCUGCGGUCAGUGGGCCGCUUCAGCGAUUUCCUUGGCCUGGGCCGACUUUGCUUCUGUGGGUGAUCAACUGCUUCUGUUGUCCAAGAGCCGCAGAAGCGGUUAUGAAAGAAGCAGCAGACAUGGUUCCUUUUAAAAUUCCAACUUCGCUCGAACCUCAACCAUUUGACGCUUGGGGCUUCUGAGCCCCGCCCGAAUAUACCGAAAAGUCUGAAAUCACGAGGCAGACCUACUUAAACCCUCGGAACACACGAAACAAGGCUAAAUCGAGGAACAAACCCAAAACCAAUUGAGACGGCCUAUUGAACUUUAAGUUCUUAAUUCCCCUUCAACGGGUCAAAAUGCCCUUAAACUAUUCGGAUGGAAACCAAAUUUUACGGGUAGGUCUUAACUGAUAUUUUGGACUUGUACCAAAUUUCAGAAUCGGAAUUCGAACCCGAUACCAAGGUUUUUAAUGAAUACUUAAAUUCUUUAAUUCAUUAAAACUUCGAUUUAACAGUUUUACACAAAUAUUCAGUACUCGGGCUAUGGACCUCGAAAUUCAAUUUCGAGCAUACGUCCAGGUCCCAUAUUUUUACGCGGGCCUUCCGGGACAGUCAAAUCAAGAAUCUGGGUAUGUUUCCCAAGAAAGUUGACUAAAGUCAAAUUUAGACGUUUAAGAAAACCUUAAGGAAAUAAUUGGUUUUAUUUUCACUCAAAACUCUUCUAGCUUCCGAACUAUUCGUCCCCACAAGUCGUAAUUUAGCUAAGGAAAACGUGAAAAGUUUUAUUUAAGGAAACAUGAUUCUAAAAAGUAAAACCACCAGUCGGGUCAUUACAAUUAGCUCAAUACAAUUCAUAUAAUUGGGCAUCAGGGAGUAGAUCAUCUGUGAAUACAGAAAAAAAGAGAAUUAAUUUAACUCAACCAUCUCUGGGAACAAGUUGUUCGUAGCAAGGAAUGCCUGGGUGAAUUCUAUAGAUGUGCAGAGAGGUAUUUCCUAGGUUAUCAAUGCAAGAAUAAGCAGUUGAAUACCUUGCAUGAUACCACUGACCAGGACAUCAUAGAGGAGGACUAGGGAACGGAAGAAAUUGAAGAAGUUGAAAAAGGUCAAGAAGGUAUAAUUGAUGAGGCCUCUCAACACAUUGUAUGGGACUGUGACCUAUGAUACUAUUAAAUUGGAAGGGAUGUUCACAUAAGCUAAUAGUGGAAGUACCCAUAAUUUUUUGGCCAGUAGCACUACAAAAUAAUUGGAAUGUGUGAUUAAGCAAGAUGCACCUAUGAGGGUUACUGCAGCUAAUGGUAGCCAUUUGAUGAUUAAUCACUCCGGUUCCUUAUUCAAAUGGAAGAUACACGGGAUUAAUUUUGAGCAAAAGCUUAGGAUGUUGGAUAUUGGAGGAUGUGACAUGAUAUUAGGAGUGGAUUGGAUGAGGAAACACAAUCCAGUCCUAUUUAACGUUAUUGGCUAUAGACUCCCAAUGAGUAUCUACCGUAAGAGAGUAGAACUGAAAGGAUUCUCUGAGGAAGGUGAUGAUAGGCCAUAAUUAUGCAUUUUUGUUGCUUAUUACACUCUAGUUUACUGUACUUUAAUUGAAUUUGAGUUUUAAUCAUUAGUGUUUUGCACUAAAUAUGUGUCUUAUGCCUUGUAGGAGUGAUUCCGAUCUAUGUAAGUGUUAUGGAAUGAAUUCAAGUGAUUUGGAGCUUUGAAUUCGGAGUAAAGCCCAAGGAAUUAAGUCGGAAUCGUGUUCGAGGAUCAAUGGAUGAUAGUUAAGAACGAAAUGAAAAAUCGAGUGGGUAUUCGGCGUAUUGUCUAGUAAAAUGCUAACUUGCCCAAAAUCACUUCUGGCGGUCCUUCACGCCGCAUCUGCUGUUCCCAAGCCGCAUAUGCAAAAAUAUCAGAAGCAGCAAACUAAUAUCUUCCAACUUCCAAAAUUCUUCCGUCAACCAUUCGAAAUCAUCCUGAGGCCCCCGAGGCCUCAACCAAAAGUACCAAUAACACCUAAUACUAUAUUAAAACUUGUACCAACCCUUAAAAUACCGAAACCCAAAUUAAUCAAUGAUUUAAGCCUAGGAACUUCAAAUUUCAUCAAAAUACGCUUUCGAUAAAAAAUCUAACCAAAACACAUCCGAAUGACCUGAAAUUUCGCACGCACAUCUCAAAUUACAUGACAGAUCUACUCAAAACUUCUAGAAUUCCAUUCCGACCCUCGAACCAAAAAUCACCAUCAGACCGAAAACUUUAAAAAUACAAACUUCGAAAUUUCAAGCCUAAAUGAGCUAUGAACCUCCAAAAUAGAUUAUGAACACGCACCAACCCCAAAAUUACCUAACGAAGCUAAAGAAACAAUCGGAUUUCCAUUCUGAGUUUGUCUUCACACUAUUCUGACUACGGACCGCUUUCUAACACUUAAGCUCUCAUUUAGGGACUAAGUGUCCCAAACUCUCCGAAACUCAACACCGAACGUCCCAACAAACCAAAAUAGCAAAAAUGAACUUAGGGAAAAUAGUUUAUGGGGGCUUGGGGAAUAAAUUCUAAAAAUGACCGGCUGGGUCAUCACACAGAAAGUGGUUCAAGUCGUGCCGCGACGUUAAAUCAGGCGCUUGUUGGAAGGAAACCCAGCUUUAGGAUUAUAAUCAUAAAACGAAAAGUUAAUACGCGAGUAGAAAAGCAAGCAGUUGGUUGAAACUGAGUGUGAGGUAGGCACACAAAGGAACGUACCUGGGAGAAGUCUGAGUAUCCCGUGAGCUGAAAUUCUUUGGCGUUUGGCCUACCUGGGAGUCACUUUUACCUUCUUGUUAUUUAUAGUAUGCAUUGAAGACAUUGCACAGUUUUAAGUGUGGGGUGAGAAGAUUGUCGGGGUGACUUUCUAUUCCAUUUUAAUUGUGUUAGUUUAAUUAAAUAAUUUUUUUUAGAAAAAUAGAAAAAGAAAAAAAAUUGAACAUUUUCCGAUGAUAGACCUCCUAGACAAUUUUCUUGAGGGAGUUAAGUCUAAAGGAAAAAAAAUUCUUUGUAGGUAAUAUAGUAAUUCCCCCUUGGUUUUUUUGUGUCGCGGUCCUUUUCCAAGGAUUUUGUUUGAACUGGAUGUAGGUAGUUUAUUUUUUUAGGAGAGAAGCCAUGGUGAUGUGAAUUGAAUUGAAGCAAUAUCUCUUGAAUUUUUAUGCCUUGAGAAUAGUGAGUACUUUAGUUGUGACGCUGAAGCUCAAUUUUUUUACUAUUGUAUAACUACCUUAAAUUGUAUGAUCUUAACUUAUCUUAACUGCUUUGAAUAGAUUGUCUUGAUGAGUCCAAUCUUGAGUGAGCUAUGUUCCAUGUGUGUUAGUUUUUGUGUUAUUCUGUGCAUUGCAUUUGAUGUCUAAAACUUGCCCCGUGUGUUUUCAAAGUGAAAUAGUAGUUUUGUUUCGUCUUAGAAGUGAUAUAGGCGUUUAUUCGUAGAGCCAUAUAUAUAUUUUACUCACCUAAUUGUUAUGUAUCAUAGUUAAUCCCUUUGGGCUUGUAAUCUUAUUUCUUUGGCACCCACAUUACAAGCGUUACUCAUUUGUUUGAAUUAACUAUCUAUUUGAACAUUUUCACCUCUCAUAAGCACUUGAAUUGUUAUGAACUUUGUAAAAGUUGAAGUGUGCGAUGGUUGGCUUGGAUUUGAGUGAAACUAAUGAAAUAUGGAGAAAGGUGAAGUUUUUUGAAAAAAGUAAGAGCCACUUGAAUUGAAAAAGAAAAAGAUAGUUGUACUGCUGUGAAAAUAUGUGAUAGUGGUGACUCUUGAUAUAAUUGUGCUUAAAGAAGUGGGAAAUUAAUAUAUAUUGAUGUGAAGGUGGAGUUAUGGUUUAAAAUAAGUGUGGGAUUUUUAAUAUUAAAGUGUAUGUAUUAAAGUGCUUAGGGAAGUGUAGUUACUCUUACAUCUAAACGUAUCCUAUUCGACACGUAACCUACAUUACCAAAUAAAGUCCUACUUGUUCAUAGAUUGAAUGAGCUAGAUUAAUAGAGUAGUACACUAUGGGAAAGCCUAUGGUGCAUAUUUUGUGGCAUAUGAAUAUUAUUUCUGAGCGUGAGUGAAUUCUUUCUAUCUUGAGUUCCUAAUUGUUCUUUAAUUUUAUUUUAUGGGACUACUCUCUUCCGUUGUGUGAGGGCACUUGACUCAUGAAGGAAAGGUAAUGUCAGUGAUCUCUAUGUUAGAGUAAGUGGAUGAGUUGCGAAUAAUGCAUGAUAAUUGUGAGUCAAUCCUUGAGGUGAAGAUGUUACACUCUUGUGCUUAGUCUAUUUUAAAUAUUUUUGGUGUGAUGAGUUAGGAGAAUUGUUUAAAAGAGUCGUCUAUAUAAAUUGUAGUUUGAUUGCUCGAGAAUGAGCAAUGAUUUAAGUGUGGGGUGUUGAUGAUAGGUUAUAAUUAUGUAUCUUAGUCGCUUAUUACACUAUAGUUUACUGCACUUUAAUUGAGUUUGAGCUUUAAUCGCUAGUUUUUUGCACGAAAUAUGUGUCUUAUGCCUUGUAUGAGUGAUUCCAAUCUAUAUAGGUGUUAUGAAGUAAAUUAAAACAAUCUGGAGCUUUGAGUCUGAGCAAAAUCCUAAGAAAUUAAGUCGGAAAAGGAUCAACAGAUGAUAAUUAAGAACGAAACGAAGAAUCGAGCGGGCAUACAGCGCAUUGUCUAGUAAAAUACACAUAACUGUUCGCUCAGAACUCCCUUUUGGCUCCACAAUAUAUCGUUGGAAAUCUAUUUGAAAGGGACACAACUUUUAUGUUUUGCAUUUUCGCAAAUUCUCACUACCACACCUCAUGAGACACCGCAAGGUGCGGCACAACAGUGUAAAAAUUGGCCUGAUAAGAAAAAAGCAAGGUUGCUGAUAAUCUCCAUUAGCACACCGCAUGGUGCGGCAUGCCUGUACAAAUUUUACAUAUUAAUUGUCCUAUUUCACACGGGAGAAGGUAUUUUCAUCUGGGUCCGACCCUAUUUUAUAUAUAUACAUGGAAAAAUGCUAUUUUGACGACUUUUAACAUAUUUUAGACCUAGGGACACACUUUAGACAUGGAGGAACUCACAGCACGCUUUGGAGGAGUUUUCUAACUAGUUUUUCUUCUCUUUUCUUUAAUCUCAUAGUCUAUUAGUUCUAGCGUUUUGGGCGCUACAUGAAUGUUGCAGUUUCAAGUUUGAAUUGUUCUUAUUAUUUUAUCAUAUUGAUUUAUUUAUUUAUAAUGACCUGGCCCGUCGUCCCAUGUAUUAUUGUCCCAUUUUCCCCGUUUUAUGCUGUUAUACUUUUCAAUAUAUAUAUUUGGAGAGUUUGAAGUAAUCCGGAUGGAGUUGGGAUAGAAAUGAGACAAUUAGUCACUUUAAGAGAAAGUUAGUUUGGAAAAGUCAAUCUAACGUUGACUUAUGAGUUAGAGGGAUUGGAAUGGAUUUCUGAGGAUUCGACUAGUUUCAAAUGGUGAUUUGUGACUUAGGAGCGAAAUCAAAAUUGAAUUUGGAGGUCCGGUGUAGAAUUAGGCUUGAAUUGGCUAAGUUAGAAUUUGGCGAAAGUCCGGUUGAAAGGUGAUAUUUUGAUCCGGAAGUCGGAAUGAAUUUGACAAUUGCAGUAGCUUUGUUAGGUGAUUUUUUAUAUGUGUGCAAACUUUUAGAUCAAUUGGAGGUGUUUAGGUCGGAUUUUGGAGUAAAUGCGAGUUUCGGAAGUUUUAGUUUAACUUAGGCUUGAAUCCGUGGAAAUUGGAUGAUUUUGAUGUUUAUGAUAGCAUUUUUAUGUUGCGAGCAAGUCUGAAUGAAGUAAUGGGACAUAUUUAUGCAUUUGGUUGGGGUCCCGAGUGCCUCGGGGUGAAGUCGGAUGAUGAAAAUUAAGAUUUUUGAAGCCGCAACAGGUCUAUUGCACAGACUUCUGGUAUUUUCGCGAAAGCGGAAGAAUUACCGCAAAAGCAGCUACCGUGAAAGUGGUCAUCGACUGCAGAAGUUGUCAUGGUAUAUCUGGGUGACCGCAAAAGCGGCCAAGGUGAUCGCGUAGGCGGAGAACGCGAAAGCGGUUUAGGACCGCAGAAGCGGUCUCAAUCGACUCAAGGGAGACCGCAAAAGCGGUCUAUUGACCGCAGAAGCGACCACUGCGGAAGCAGUCAUUGUAUCGCGGAAGUGAAAUUACAGGGGGAUUAAUAAAAUAGUGUUUACAGAUUUCAUAUGUUAAGAAAACACUUUUGGACUUCGGGAAGAGAUGAUUUUAGGGUCAUUGUGUCGCGGAAGUUGAAAUCUCAGGGGAUUAACGAAACAGUGUUUGCAAAUUUUAUAAAUUAAAAGAAAACACUUUUCUCUUCGGGAAGAGGCGAUUGAGGGCGAUUUUGAAAAGGGUUUCGAGGGUUUCUUUCAGGUAAUGAUUUUUGGCCUCGGAUUAUGUCUAUAUGGUGUAAGGUCAAAAAUCGUGGUUAGGGCUUGAAGCUUAAGAGAGAGUAAAAUGGUGAUUUGAGAGGGUAAACGAACUCCGUUUUUUAUAAACCUUAUAUGUAAAGAGUCAUGGCAAGACGAGGAAUCCAAAGAUGCAACUUUCUAAAUUUUUUGAGAAGUGGGCCAAGGGCUCGGGUUUUACCAACUUCGUGAUUUUUAACAUUUUUUGAAUAAUUUCAAUUCGGUUAUGUUUAUUUAGCCUAUAAUAACCUAUUUGUUGUGGUUUUGGAUAGGUUCAACGCUCGUAAGAGAAGAUUCGAAGGGAAAAGGCAUUGCAGACCAGGCUACGACUGGUUAAGGGUGGGUAGUUUGUAUAGAUGAUGGCCUAAGGGUUUGAAACCCCGGCUUAUCAAAUCGUGACGAUAUGUUAGGGCGUGACUCGCACCCUAUGGCAGGUGCGAGAUUGUAAAUGAUUAGGGAUUGUGACUUGGUCCAUUACGAGAGCUGAAUAUGAACUAUUGGCGUAUGAUAUGCACAUUGUGUUAUUGAUAAUUGGGCUUGAUGCCAUAUUUGGGGCCUUGCGCCAUUCUGUAUUACCCAUCUAGGGCGAAUAUAUGUGUGACAACAUGAUUUCCAUAAUCAUUGAUCUUAGUCAUGUAUUAUUCGCUGUUAAUAAAUGUUAAGUCACUGUAUUUCUAAAAUUGACUAAUUAAAUUGUAUUCACCUUAAUAAAUUGGAAUCUGGCAAAGAAUCAGAUUGAAUCGGUUAUGUGACUUACAUGAAUACUGAGGACUGCAUGGUUGGCUUGGGCUGCACGCCGCAACGGUUAUAUAUCGAUAUUAAGGCCGAGUGCCUGUUCUUAGCCGGUACAUGGCUGAUAUUGCGCUUGGGCUGAAGGAGCCAAUCCGGAGUCUGUACACCCCCUAGUGAGCGCCGUCGACGUUAAAUCAUAUGCAUGGUUGGCUCGGGCUGCACGUCGCAGCGUAUUCAUGUGCAUUGCAUCUUUAUCUAAUACUUGACUGUUGUAUUUGAUAUUGUUUUGCUGUUUGUUCGUGGCUAAGGAAUAAGACUGUUAGAUUCAGCUUUGUUUUGUGGCCUUUCGUGAAUUUUGUACUUUCAGACAUGCCUGUACCUAAGUUAUAGGAUUGUUAGUUAUAGCUUUGCAUUAUGGUCUUUCGUGGAUUUCUUACUUUCAUUCAUUUUCUAUACUUAUUAUUCACUGAGUCGGUAGUACUCACCUCUACUCCCUGCACCUUGUGUUCUUACUUUCAGUCAUUUUCUAUACUUAUUAUUCACUGAGUCGGUAGUAAUCACCUCUACUCCCUGCACCUUGUGUGCAGAUUCAGGUACACCGGAGGCUUAGCUGAUUCUCGUAGUCUCUUGAGAUAUUUUCCGAGUCGUUGAGGUAGCUGCAUGACGUUCGCAGGACCUGUCUACUCUUCAUUAUUUCUUUAUUUUAAUAUUAUUAUAUACUUUCCCAGAUUUUGGUUUUGGUAUUCAGAUACUAUUAUUAUUACUCACUUUUGUUUAGAAGCUCUAGACUCGUAAACCCGCAGAUCAUAUGGGUGUGUCUUCGAUUUCCGUAUUUACUUAUAUUACAUUAUUAAUAUUCUUGGAUUAUUUUUUUUUUAAUUCUCGGUUUGAGACUUAAAUGUUACGUUGGAAGCGAUUGUUGGUCAGGCUUACCUAGCUUUAGGGCUAGGUGCCAUCACGACCGGGUUUGGGUCGUGACAAGUUGGUGACAUCACGACCGAGUUUGUGGUUGAUGUUCAGGCCUUUUCCAAUUAGAUGGUGAGGUUAGAUAUUUCUGAUCCCAGUGGGGUGUUGGAGAGUGUGGUUUCCCGGUCUUCUUUGUAUGACCGCAUCAGAGAGAGGCAGUAUGAUGACCCGCAUUUGCUUGUCCUGAAGGACAAGGUCCAGCAUGAUGAUGCCAUAGAUGUGACCAUUGGAUAUGAUGGUGUAUCGCGGAUGCAGGGCCGGAUUUGCGUGCCCAAUGUGGAUGGUCUCCGGGAAUUGAUUUUAGAGGAGGCUCACAGCUCGCGGUAUUUGAUUCAUCCGGCUGCCGCGAAGAUAUACUAGGAUUUGAGACAACAUCACUGGUGGAGGAGAAUUAAAAAGGACAUUGUGAAUUACGUAGCUUAGUGUCUCAACUGUCAGCAAGUCAAAUACGAGCACCAGAGACCGGUGGUGUACUCCAGCGGAUGGAUAUCUCGGAGUUGAAAUAGGAAAACAUUACUAUGUAUUUUUGAGUGGUCUUCCUCAUACCUCGAAGAAGUUUGAUUCGGUUUGGGUGAUUGUGGAUAGGCUGACUAAGUCUGCGCACAUAUCCGGCAGAGAAGUUAGCAGAGAUUUUCAUUUAGGAGAUUGUACGGUUGCAUGGGGUCCUGGUUUCCAUUGUAUCAUAUAGGGGUACCGUGUUUACUUCCCAGUUCUGGAGGACUUUUCAUCGGGAGUUGNNNNNNNNNNNNNNNNNNNNNNNNNNNNNNNNNNNNNNNNNNNNNNNNNNNNNNNNNNNNNNNNNNNNNNNNNNNNNNNNNNNNNNNNNNNNNNNNNNNNNNNNNNNNNNNNNNNNNNNNNNNNNNNNNNNNNNNNNNNNNNNNNNNNNNNNNNNNNNNNNNNNNNNNNNNNNNNNNNNNNNNNNNNNNNNNNNNNNNNNNNNNNNNNNNNNNNNNNNNNNNNNNNNNNNNNNNNNNNNNNNNNNNNNNNNNNNNNNNNNNNNNNNNNNNNNNNNNNNNNNNNNNNNNNNNNNNNNNNNNNNNNNNNNNNNNNNNNNNNNNNNNNNNNNNNNNNNNNNNNNNNNNNNNNNNNNNNNNNNNNNNNNNNNNNNNNNNNNNNNNNNNNNNNNNNNNNNNNNNNNNNNNNNNNNNNNNNNNNNNNNNNNNNUCACCUAGCUUAUCGGGAGUUCACCCGGUGUUUCAUGUUUCUAUGCUCAGGAAGUAUGUUGGGGACCCGUAUCAUGUGUUAGACUUCAGCACGAUCCAGUUAAAUGAAGACUUGACCUAUGAUAUGGAGCCGGUAGCUAUUUUGGGUCGUCAGGUUUGAAAGUUAAGAUCAAAGGACAUAGCUUCAGUGAAGGUGCAGUGGAGAGGUAGGCCCAUGGAGAAAGCCACCAGGGAGACCGAGUAGGAGAUACAGAGCAUAUAUCCUAACUUUUUGAUACUCCAGGUAUGUUUCUUGACCCGCUCGAGGACGAGCGUUUGUUUAAGCUGGGGAGGAUGUAACGAUCUGACCCGUCGUCCCAUAUAGUACUGCCCUGUUUUCUCUGUUUAUGCUGUUAUAUGUUUCAAUAUAUAUAUUUGGAGAGUUUGAUGUAAUUCGGAUGGAGUUGGGAUAGACAUGAGACAAUUAGUCUUUUUAAGAGAAAGUUAGUUUGGAAAAGUUAACCGAACGUUGACUUAUGAGUUAAAAGGCUCGGAAUGGAUUUCCGAUGAUUCGACUAGUUUAGAUGGUGAUUUGUGACUUAGGAGCGAAAUCAAAAUUGAAUUUGGAGGUCCGUUGUAGAAUUAGGCUUCAAUUGGCUAAGUUAGAAUUUGCCGAAAGUCCGGUUAAUAGGUGAUAUUUUGAUCCGGGAGUCGGAAUGAAAUUCUGACAGUUGUAGUAGCUUCGUUAGGUUAUUUUUGAUAUGUGUGCAAAUUUUAGAUCAUUCGGAGGUGUUUAGGUCGGGUUUUGGAGCAAAUGCGAGUUUUAGAAGAUUUAGUUUAACUUAGGCUUGAACCCGUGGAAAUUGGAUGAUUUUGAUGUUUAUGAUAGCAUUUUUAUGUUGCGGGCAGAUUUGAAUGAAGUAAUAGGACAUAUUUAUACAUUUGGUUGGGGUCCCUAGGGCCUCGGGGUGAAGUAGGAUGAUGAAAACGAAGAUUUUUGAAGCUGCAACAGGUCUGUUGCACAUGCUUCUGGUAUUUCUUCGAAAGCGGAAGAAUUACCGCAAAAGCGGCUACCGCGAAAGCGGUCAUCAACCGCAGAAGCGGUCAUGGUCUAGCUGGACGAACACUUAAGUGGCCAAAGUGAUCGCGUAGGCGGAGACCACAAAAGUGGUUUAGGACCGCAGAAGCGAUCUCAGUCGACUCAAGGGAGACCGCAGAAGCGACCACCACGGAAGCAGUCAUUGUGUCGCCGAAGCGGAAAUUUCAAGGGAUUAAUAGAACAGUGUUUGCAAAUUUCAUAAAUUAAGAAAACACUUUUGAUUUCGGGAAGAGGCGAUUGUGGGCGAUUUUGAAGAGGGUUUUGAGGGUUUCUUUCAGGUAAUGAUUCUUGGCCUCGGAUUAUGUCUAUAUGGUGUAAAAUAGUAGAUUAAAUAAUGAAUAAAGGGUUUUAAGGUAAAAAAUGGUGGUUAGGGCUUGAAGCCUAAGAAAGAGUAAAUUGGUGAUUUGAGAGGGUAAACGAACUCCGUUUUUGAUAAACCUUAUAUGUAUGGACUCGUGGCGAGACGAAUCCAAAGAUGCAACUCUUUGAAUUUUUUGAGAAGUGGGCCCAAGGCUCGGAUUUUACCAACUUCGUGAUUUUUAACGUUUUUUCAAUAAUUUCAAUGGGUUAUGUUUAUUUAGCCUAUAAUAACCUAUUCGUUGUGGUUUUGGAUAGGUUCGACGCUCGUAGGAGAAGAUUCGAAGGGAAAAGGCAUUGCAGACCAGGCUACGUCCGGUUAGAGGUGAGUAGUUUUUAUAGAUGAUGGCCUGAAGGUUUGAAACCCCGGCUUAUCACAUUGUGACGCUACGUUAGGGCAUGACUCGCACCCCAUGGCAGGUGCGGGAUUGUAAAUGAUUGGGGAUUGUGACUUGGUCCAUUCCGAGAGCUGAAUAUGAACUAUUGGCGUCUGAUACACACAUUGUGUUGUUGAUAAUGGCCUUGCAUUGUUCUGUAUUACCCGUCUAAGGCGAAUAUCUGUGUGACAACAUGAUUUGCAUAAUCAUUGUUCUCAGUCAUGUAUUAUUCACUGUUACUAAAUGUUAAGCCACCGUAUUUCUGAAAUUGACUUAUUAAAUUGAAUUCACCUUAAUAAAUUGGAAAGUGGCAAAGAAUCAGAUUGAAUCGGUUAUGUGACUUUACAUGCAUACUGAGGAUAGCAUGGUUGGCUCGGGCUGCACGCCGCAAAGAUUAUAUAUUGAUAUUGAGGCCGAGUGCCUGUUCUUAGCCGAUACAUGGCUGAUAUUGCGCUUGNNNNNNNNNNNNNNNNNNNNNNNNNNNNNNNNNNNNNNNNNNNNNNNNNNNNNNNNNNNNNNNNNNNAGUUAUAUGCCGAUACAUGGCUGAUAUUGCGCUUGGGCUGAAGGAGACCCUCUGGAGUCUGUACACACCCUCAGUGAGUGCCUUCGACGUUAAAUCAUAUGCAUGGUUGACUUGGGCUGCACGCUGCAGCGUAUUCAUAUGCAUUGCAUUGCAUCUUUAUCUGAUGCUUGGUUGUUGUUAUGAUACUGUUAUGUUGUUAGCCUGUAGCUAAGUUAUAGGAUUGUUAGUUAUAGCUUUGUGUUGUGGUCUUUCGUGAAUUUAUUACUUUCAUUCAUUUUCUAUACUUAUUAUUCACUUAGUCAGUAGUACUCACCCCUACUCCCUGCACCUUGUGUGCAGAUUCAGGUCCACCAGAGGCUUAGGUAAUUCUCCUAGUCUCCAGAGAUAUUUUCAGAGUCAUUGAGGUAGCUGCAUGACGUUCGCAGGACCUGGAUGCUCUUCAUUAUUUCUUCAUUUUAAUAUUAUUAUAUACUUUUCUAGAUUUUGGUUUUGGUAUUCAGAUACUAUUAUUAUUACUCAGUUUUGUUUAGAGGCUCUAGACUCGUGACCCCCAGAUCAUAUGAUUUUGGUUUUGGUAUUCAGAUACUAUUAUUAUUACUCAGUUUUGUUUAGAGGCUCUAGACUCGUGAACCCUCAGAUCAUAUGGGUGUGUCUUCGAUUUCCGUAUUUACAUAUAUUACAUUAUUAAUAUUUUUGGAUUAUUAUUUUUUUUAAAUUCUCGGUUUGAGACUUAAAUGUUAUGUUGGAAGCGAUUGUUGGUCAGGCUUACCUAGCUUUAGGGCUGGGUACCAUCACGACCGAGUUUGGUUCGUGACAUUAUUCAAUCUUGUGCUUAAUUAUAUGAAUGUUGAUGACUAAUUGAAUACUAUCUACGAACCUAGGAAUGAGAUCGGGAGAGUAAAUUCCAUAUUUCAUAUAAGAUUGAGUAGAGAAGGAUCUUAACUUUGCGGGGGGCGGAUUUGCUGUUAGGAUAGGAAUAUACCUAAUCACCUUGCUUGGUUACUAUACAGGAAUUAUAAAUGCGUUCUUGUUAAUCAUGAUUCCAUAUGAAUAUAAGUGUUAGAUUAACUUGAAUAGGCGAGUUGUACUUCGGGAGAAGGCUACGAGCAAUAUUAACCCCGUCAACCAAUAAACUAGAUAAAUUGAUUAGACGAUUUAAGUGGAAAACUCAACGGGACUGUUAGCUAACCCAUAGCUCUAGAAUAUUCACCCACAUUGAAUUCAUCGUUAACUUUGUCGUUGUUUUCUUUAAUCUAUUAAGUUGUUACUCUAGAUUAAUUUUAGUUAAAUCUUCAUACUUUAGGAUUUGCUUGAAUAGAUUAAUGCCAGAUAAAUUAAUUAGACGAUUUAGGUGGAAAACUCAAAGGGAUUGUUAGCUAACCCAUAACUUUAGAAUAUUUACUCAUAUUGAAUUCAUCUCUGUAAUUUGCCAAUUUAUUUUCUUUAAUCUCUUAAUUUAUUACUUUAGGUUAAUUUUAGUAAAAUAUUUAUACUUUAGGAUUCACUUGAAUAGAUUAAUUGUUCGGUUUAAUUUAGUUGAUAGUUAAUCACAAGUCCUUGUUGGUACGAUAUCUGGACUUAAAAUCCUAAAUUUCUUGUUGACCACGUAUACUUGGGUGUGCGUUUGGGGGCAACAGAGGGCCAACCAUAAGUUAUGACUACUUAUGGGGUUAAACAACUAUUGAAGAAAGGGCAAGUGAUAUGGGUACAUUUAUUCUCAAUCUCAGUUAAGGAAGUAGAAGUUAUAACAGAGUAACCUGAGGAGAUCAGAUUAGUUCCUCAUGAAUUUCCUAAUAUGUUUGCAUAGCCCAAGUCCUUACUACCAAUAAGGGACCAUGACCACUUUAUUCUCCUCAAACCUGAUGCAACACCAGUGAGUAUCAGACCUUACAAGUAUAACUAUUUUCAAAAAAAUAAAAUAGAAAAGCGAGUAAAUGAAAUUCUUACUAAUGGAAAUAUUCACCCUAGUCAUUCCCUAUUUUCCUCACCAGUUCUCUUAGUUAAAAAGAAGGAUGGUAGCUGAAGAUUUUGCAUUGACUAUAGGGAACUUAAUAAGAGACAAUUAAAGACAAAUUUCCUAUACCCCUAGUAUAUGACUUAAUGGAACUCAAUGGUUCUUGCAUCUAUUCAAAGAUUGACUUGAGAGUUGGUUAUCACCAGAUCAUAAUGAGAGAGAAUGACAUUUUCAAAACUGCAUUAGAACUCAUUUAGGACAUUAUGAGUUCAAGGUCGUGCCCUUUGGCUUGACCAAUGCACCUGCUACUUUCAAAGCCUAAUGAAUCAUGUUUCCAAACCUUUUUUUUAGAAAGUUUGUGCUGCUAUUCUUUAAUGAUAUAUUAAUCUACAACUCUACACUAGAAACGCAUGCACCACACCUCAUAAUAGUGCUGGAAGUACUACAGAAGGAGAAGCUUUUUCCAAGCUGUCCAAAUGUUCAUUUGGGAAGGACAAAGUGGAAUUAUCUUAGGGAGAGGAGUAGCUACUAAUCCUGCUAAAAUUGAAGCCAUGAUGUCUUGGCAUAUACCAAAAUCUAUCAAGGCUCUCGGAGGGUUUCUAGGGAUCACAGGUUACUACUAAAGGUUUGUUAAGUCUUAUAGAGUAAUCAGUAGGCACUUACAAACCUACUCAAAAAGAAUAUGUUUCAAUGGAAUGAGGAAGCAAAAUUGUCUCUUCAACAGUUGAAAGAAGCUAUGGCCACAGUUCCAGUCUUGGCUCUAGCUGAUUUCACUAAGCCUUUUGUAAGUAGAUAGUGAUGCAUGCUCCACUGGGAUAGGGGAUGUAUUGAUGCAAACUGGACCUAUAGCUUAUUUUACCAAGGCUCUUAAUCCUAAACAUAAGGAACUUUCUACUUAUGAGAAAGAAUAUAUGGUUGUGCUAUCAGCCAUAGACAAAUAGAGACACUAUUUGCAAUGAGGGCAUUUCACUGUUAAGACAAACCACAAGAGUUUAAAGUACUUACUAGAGCAGAAGGUCACUUCAACAUUACAACAAAAAAGAAUAACAAAGAUUUUGGGACUAGACUAUGAGGUGCAGUGUAAGAAAGGGGGAAAACAAGGUGACAUAUGCUUUAUCAAGAAGACAUGAAGAGUACUCUACCCUAUUAGCCUUUUCCACCUCCCAGACUACUUGGUUAGAAGAGGUAUGUUUCAGCUAUGAGUGUGAUUCCUUAGCCUUACAACUACUCAGUAAAAUGCUAGUUUCUCCCUCCAGCAACCCAGAUUAUUCAUUAUAUCAAGGAGUUAUAAGAUGCAAAUAUAAGAUAUAUGUUGGAAGAAAAUACUACAUUGAAACACAAGAUUUUAAAGGCCUUGCAUCAAUCACCUAUUGGAGGACACUCAGGACAUCAUGGAACCUACAAGAUGGUAUAAUCUGUAUUCUAUUGGCCAAACAUGAAGGCAUAUAUUUGCAAACAUGUAAGUGUGUGUGAUGUAUGUCAAAGAGUUAAAUCAGAACACAUUAACCCGCCUGGACUUCUAUUACCAAUCCUUAUACCUACCCAGGCUUGGCAGGACAUUUUAUUAGAUUUUGUAGAAGGUUUGCCCAUUUUGGUCACAAAAAUGCAAUCUUGGUGGUAGUGGAUAUGUUCAGAAUUAUGGCCACUUCCUAGUACUUAGACAUCCAUAUACAACUUAUGAUGCAUCACAAUUGUUUCUUAGAGAAAUCUACAAGUUAUAUGGACUUCCCAAAACUAUUAUCUCCAUUUUCACUAGCCAUUUCUGACAGUAUAUCUUCAAAUCCUUGGGCACCAAGCUCAACAUGAGCAAUGCUUACCACCCUCAAUCUGAUGGACAAACAAAGAGACUCAAUAGGUGUAUGGAAACCUAUUUGAGAGCUAUGGUUUUUAACAAUCCUAAAUAGUGCUCAAAGCGGCUACACUUAGCUGAGUGGUGGUACAACACAAUCACAACUCCCUCAAGACUACACCUUUUCAAGCACUCUAUGGUCAUGACCCUCCACAAUUACUACAGGCUGGUCAACACUUAGCAAGAGAGUAUCCAGUUCACAGACAACAAAUGCUGCAGACUCUAAAAGACAAAUUAACACAGGCUCAGUCUAGGAUGACGUUCUAUGCUGACAAACUAUGAUCUGAAUGAGAACUGAUGGUUGGGGAUCUAGUCUACCUUAAGUUACAGCCAUAUUGACAGUCUUCCAUCGACGUCAGACGAAAUGUCAAACUAUGUGCUCGUUACUAUGGACUUUACAAGGUCAUGCAAAAGAUAGGAGCAGUGGAUUACCGCUAGAGCUUCCUGAAGGAUCUUAGCUGACCUUGUUUUUCAUAUCUCCUAAGCUGAAGAAACGCAUUGGUUCAUCCAUUAUUCCACAGCUGCAACCACCAAUUUGUAACGGCGAGGGACGGAUCUUGAUUCUACCUGUAGCUAUCUUACAAUGAAGAAUGGUGAAGAUAGAUAAUGGUGUGGGGGUGAAAGUUCUUGUUCAAUUAGUAAAUCUAGGAGAGGAGGAUUGGAGUUAUAUCAAAAGCCAAUUUUCUGAUUUUGUUGCUCGGUAAAGACCUUGAGGACAAGGUCGUUCUUGGAGAGGUAGAGAUUGUAAUGACUAAGGUUGGUGAAUUAGGAAAGUAAAGGGGAGAUAUUACUAUAUUAGGGUCUCAUGUUGUGACACGUGGAUGGUAAACGAGAUUGGGCCAACGAAGACAUAUUGUAGAAAGGCCUUAGGCCCAAUUACAUUUCAGGCCACGCG